UGACCGGAUGAACCAGAGGCCGUGGCUAAUUGCUACCUGGGCCCAGCAGCCGAUAUGCACGAAUGUUUGUUACCACUGGGAGACGUGAACUGCAGCUUUGUAUAACCACAGCCUCUCCAGGAGUCUGGAUUUGAGGGGAGUGUGAUGGGACUUGGGGAGGGGGGUGCCAGGACCACCCCAGCCAGGCGGAGAAUGGAGGACUGCCUCAGAGGAGAGUUAGAGAAGCUGGGAUGUGGAUGUCCGCCCCACACUCUGCCCCGCUGUGCUUGGCACAGCCAGCUCCCCCUGCUGACGACCAGAAGCUCAGCCCAAUGAGGAAGGCCUGACCACAUGAUCAUGUCUUGGGGUGCAGAGGGGCUCCUGGAGAGGACAGGGACACUGACAUCAUAAUAGUGACGUCCCUGAUGUUACAGGAAAAUGCUCCAAACUGAAAAAAGGGAGGAGCAGAACAGAACAGUUGCUUUCUGGCCCAGGAAACCAGCACCUUGAGUAGGGAGAUGCCCAGUCCUGUCCAUCCUGACUCGGCCUGGGGACCCAGGUUCCUCUGCUGUGUGACCCUUUGUCUCCUGGGAGCAGGUUUGGUGGAUGCCGGAGUCACCCAGUUCCCAAGACACCUAAUCAAAGCAGAGGGAGGAAAGUCCACUCUGAAAUGCUAUCCCGACUCUGGACACAGGAGUGUGUCCUGGUAUCAGCAGGAUCCUGGUCAGGGCCCCCAGUUCCUUGCUGAGUAUUUUGAGAUGUCACAGAGAACUAAGGGAAGCAUGCCUGGCCGAUUCUCAGCUCAGCAGUUCGGUGACUAUCACUCUGAGCUGAACAUGAGCACCUUGCAGUUGGCGGACUCGGCUGUGUAUCUCUGUGCCAGCAGCUUGGCACAGCCUUGCAGAGCCACUGGCUUUCUGUACCCUAACCUUCCAGUCCCAGCUGAGGAUAGAAUAGGGAGGGGCUAGGGAUGUCACCUUAGCCCAAGCCCUAUGGAUGCCUGUAGUGCUUUG